GAUGAACGCUGGCGGCGUGCCUAAUACAUGCAAGUCGAGCGAACGGACGAGAAUCUUGCUUCUCUGAUGUUAGCGGCGGACGGGUGAGUAACACGUGGAUAACCUCCCUAUAAGACUGGGAUAAAUUCGGGAAACCGGAGCUAAUACCGGAUAAUAUUUUGAACCGCAUGGUUCAAAAGUGAAAGACGGUCUUGCUGUCACUUAUAGAUGGAUCCGCGCUGCAUUAGCUAGUUGGUAUGGUAACGGCUUACCACGGCAACGAUGCAUAGCCGACCUGACAGGGUGACCGGCCACGCUGGAACUGAGACGCGGUCCAGACUCCUACGGGAGGCAGCAGUAGGGAAUCUUCCGCAAUGGGCGAGAGCCUGACGGAGCAACGCCGCGUGAGUGAUAGAGGUCUUCGGAUCGUAAAACUCUGUUAUUAGGGAAGAACAUAUGUGUAAGUAACUGUGCACAGCUUGACGGUACCUAAUCAGAAAGCCACGGCUAACUACGUG
rnacentral:rRNA from 1 species